CCAGAGCAGGCAGGAGAAAAGUUACAUUUCAGGAUCCAAGUUUCUUCACCAUGAGAAUGUGGUCCAUCGGCGCAGGAGCCCUGGGUGCUGCUGCCUUGGCACUGCUCCUGGCCAACACUGAUGUGUUUCUGUCCAAGCCGCAGAGAGCAGCACUGGAGUAUCUGGAGGACAGAGCCCUGAAAACACUAGACAAGGAACCAAGAACUUUCAAAGCAAAAGAGCUAUGGGAAAAGAAUGGAGCUGUGAUCACGGCUGUGCGGAGGCCAGGUUGUUUCCUCUGUCGAGAGGAAGCUGCAGACUUGUCCUCUCUGAAACCCAAACUGGAGGAGCUGGGCAUCCUGCUCAAUGCUGUGGUGAAGGAGCAGAUCGGGACUGAAGUGAAGGACUUCCAGUCUUAUUUGAAAGGAGAAAUCUUCCUGGAUGAAAAGAAAAGUUCUAUGGUCCACAAAGGUGGAAGAUGAUGUUUAUGGGAUUUAUCCGACUGGGAGUGUGGUACAACUUCUUCCGGGCCUGGAAUGGAGGCUACUCUGGAAACCUAGAAGGUGAAGGCUUCAUCCUUGGUGGAGUUUUUGUGGUGGGAUCAGGAAAACAGGGCAUUCUUCCUGAGCACCGAGAAAAAGAAUUUGGAGACAAAGUAAACCCACUUUCUGUUCUUGAAGCUGCUAGGAAGAUCAAGUCACAGGCUUCGAACUCAGAGAACAAAUGAUUCUGUGAAACUGCCUAAUGCAGGAUAACUUGGAGCACUCACCGUUUCUUUGGGAGGUGUUGUGUUUCCGU